AUUUCUUCCUUCUAUGGAAACCAACGAGCACCCGGGCCUGCACUCUUGAUAUAAAUACCCGGUGAUGACCGACUUAUUGCGGGCGACCGGGCGACGAAUCCACCGUUGGGACAGCACUGCCGGUGUCAGGCCGUAGCUGGAAGGUCAGGAGCUGAGGAGAAUAUGAAGGGCUCCCAUCAUGCUGCUGAGUGCCCCUCCUCUCCUGGCCGUACGCUGAGGGCAGGUGGAGGCAGGGACAAGGGUCAGGAGCAAGGGCAGAAUGAUUUUUUGCUUUCUCAGUCUUCCUAGAAAGAAAGAAAGAAAAAAAAUCUAAAAUCUUUAAGAUAUGUGUGGGAUCUGUUGAGUCACGGCCUGAACCACGGAUUGAUCACCUGUGGAAAGGACCCAGUCAGCCCUGAGAGCACAGGUGAAAGCAAUUCAUGUGUGUGAAUGGAAGGAGGGGAGCCUGGCUGCAGCUCUCUUAGAUCUCAUUUAAGGGCUGACUGCUGCUGGGGAGGAUCUUUGCCUGGUGAGCCCUCCUUGGUGAAGCUUCUUCCUGUGAAUCUGGAAUUUUCUGGUACAGGGGAGCAAUCUUCUUCCCUUCCUUUAUAGCACCUCUCUGUUGUGUGAUGACAGAAGGACUAGCACCUCCGUUGUAUUGCUUUUCCUAUUGUACUGAUCUGUCUAAUUGCUACAGUGUAUCUACUAAAAGCAAAAGAAUAUCAAGCAAAAUGAACUUUAUUGCCCUUUUAAGGAUACAGUAUAGUACACUUCAGAAAUACCCUCUCAUCUGUAAUUAUUCUUAAACCCCAGAAAUUUUCAUACUAGAAUUGGUUCUAGCAAUUAUCUCUUCAAGGCUCUCUCUCAAUCUGUUAAUUAACUAUUUGAAUUUUUUUCCUUACAUCAAAAUCUUUUGUUACUAAACAGGCUGAUUGUGUUUUCUGCAGGUGGAUUUGCCACAAGGUUUCUUACAAUGACUAACAGUAGAAGGAAAUGUGCUCUGAAGGGGUGUGCUUGCAAGUCGGCUCAAGAGAAAUGAAAAUCGUUGUAGCGGGGACCCUGCCUGGGAGCAGAGCAUUACCAAAUACGUUACUAUGCAAAGAAUCUCAUGUUGAAUAAUUUAGAAAUACCUUUUUGUUAGUGGUCAAGUAAAACAUGGCAACAGAGGGUAAUCUCAGGAAAAAGAGGGGAUAAAAACAUCUCUAUCAAGCCCAGACUUGAUGGGAAAGGAAGAGCUGAACAAGUGUGCGUGUCUGGGGGUGUUCAUCUUCUAGACUGCACCCAGAGAAGGAGAAUGAUUGUGAUGCUGCAGUCUCGGAACUCCAGUCAGUACACAAAUGGAAGGAUUUCUGGGCUGAGAUGAAUUUAUCUCCGCAGCUUCUAAUCUUUUGGAUUUUGUGUUCUAGUGCAGUGAAGCUUUUGGGCAUGAUUUAUCAUCACUAUAGCUAACACUGUAUGGGAAAAAAACUGACCUUAGAUCUUACAUCAAAGCUUUUAACAAAGCUUGUUUCCCUGGAUUUUACUUGCUUUCCAUUGUCUCCACCUCUCUGGUGCCUCUUUAAAAUAUAUGCCUAAUCUGAAAGCUGAGUGCAAGAAAUAUUUGUCUGACUUGUUUGCUCCCAUUCCGAAUCUUAUAAACACUAGUCUCUGUUGUGAAGGAGUCAUGUAUCAUUAAGAGUAAAUCUUUCUCGUACAAAAGCAAGAAAACAGAAGCAGUUCAAAUGUUGCUUCUUACAGCAGUACAGCAUCUCAGAACAGAGAAAAACACGGCUUGCAGAAACUUGAUUUCUGUCUUAUCAAAACAGAUCUUCAGCUAGUCUCAGUUGUCUUAGAUCUGACUCCUUCAAAGAAGUGAUUAUAAUUGAUAACUCCAGUCUCACCACAUCAGAGUUUUCACCUAUCAGUUGUGUGCAAGGAGAGUGACAGUACUGGCACACACAUCUUGGCGCUGAUGGUUCGAGAUGGCCAUAGAAUCAUAGAAUGGCCCAGGUUGAAAACGACCGCAAUGACCAUCGAGUUUCAAUGCCCCUGCUAUGUGCAGGGUCGCCAACCACCAGAGCAGGCUGCCCAGAGCCACUUCCAGCCUGGCCUUGGAUGCCCCAUCCCUGGAUGCAUUCACAACCUCCUUGGGCAACCUGUUCCAGUGCAUCACCACCCUCUGGGUGAAAAACUUCCUCCUAAUAUCUAACCUAAGCCAGCCCUGUCUCAGUUUAAGACUAUUCCUCCUUAUCCUACCACUUUCC
rnacentral:lncRNA from 1 species